AACGAACGCUGGCGGCAUGCCUAACACAUGCAAGUCGAACGCCCUGGGCAACCGGGGAGUGGCGGACGGGUGAGUAACGCGUGGGGACCUGCCUCGAAGUUCGGAAUAACCGCGGGAAACUGCGGCUAAUACCGGAUGUGGCCUGAGGGCCAAAGGGGAAACUCGCUUCGAGAGGGGCCCGCGUCCGAUUAGCUAGUUGGUGAGGUAACGGCUCACCAAGGCGACGAUCGGUAGCUGGUCUGAGAGGAUGAUCAGCCACACUGGGACUGAGACACGGCCCAGACUCCUACGGGAGGCAGCAGUGGGGAAUAUUGGACAAUGGGGGCAACCCUGAUCCAGCAAUGCCGCGUGAGUGAUGAAGGCCUUCGGGUUGUAAAGCUCUUUUGGCGGGGACGAUGAUGACGGUACCCGCAGAAUAAGCCCCGGCUAACUUCGUGCCAGCCGCCGCAGUAACAC
rnacentral:rRNA from 1 species